rnacentral:rRNA from 1 species
AUAAAUGAGGAAAGGGUUACAGUGGAUACCUAGGCACCCAGAGACAAGGAAUGGCGUAGUAAUUGAUGAAAUGCUUCGGGGAGUUGAAAAUAACCAUAGAUUCAGAGAUUCUCGAAUAGGGCAACCUUUUGAAUUGCUGCUGAAUCCAUGGGCAGGCAAGAGAUAACCUGGCCAACUGAAACAUCUUAGAAGCCAGAGGAAAAGAAAGCAAAAGCGAUUCUCGUUGUAGCGACGAGCAAAAUGGGAGCAGCCUAAAUCGUGAAAAUGGGGUUGUGGAAGAGCAAUACAAGCGUCGUGCUGCUAGGUGAAGCAGUAUGAAUGCUGCACCCUGGAUGGCGAAUGUCCAAUAGCCGAAAGCAUCACUAGCUUACGCUCUAACCCAAGUAGCAUAGGACAUGUGGAAUCUCGAGUGAGUCAGCAAGGACCACCUUGCAAGGCUAAAUACUCCUGGGUGACCGAUAGUGAAGUAGUACCAUGAGGGAAGGGUGAAAAGAUUUCCCAGCAGGGAGUGAAAUAGAAUAUGAAACUGUAAGCUCUCAAGUAGUGGAAGGAACCAGGCCUCUGAUUGCGUGCCUGUUGAAGAAUGAGCCGAUGACUCAUAGGCAAUAGCUUGAUUAAGGAAACCCACCGGAGCCGUAGCUAAAGUGAGUCUUCAUAGGGUAAUUAUCACUGCUUAUGGACCCGAGCCUGGGUGAUCUAUCCAUAACCAGGAUGAAGCUUGGGUGAAACUAGGUUCGAACUGACUGAUGUUGAAGAAUCAGUGGAUGAGUUGUGGUUAGGGGUGAAAUGCCACUCGAACCUAGAGCUAGCUAGUUUUCCCUAAAAUGUGUUGAGGCACAGAAGUUGACUGGACAUCUAGGGGUAAAGCACUAUUUCGAUGCGGGCCGCGAGAACGGUACCAAAUUGAGGCAAACUUUAAAUACUAGAUAUGACCUUAAAAUAAUAGGGUUUAAGGUCGACCAGUGAGACGAUGGGGUAUAAGCUUCAUCGUCAAGAGGGAAACAACCUAGAUCACCAGCUAAGGCUCCUAAAUGAUCGCUCAAUGAUAAAGGAGGCAGGGGUGCAGACAUAGCCAGAAGGUUUGCUCAGAAGCAGCCUCCCUUGAAAGGGUGUGCAAUAGCUCACUGAUCGAGCACUCUUGCGCCGAAGAUGAAUGAGGCUAAGCGAUUUGCCGGAGCUAUAGGAUGUAAAAAUACAUCGGUAGGGGAGCGUUCUGCCUUAGUAGAAAGCCUCUGUACGAGCAGUGGUGGAUGAAGCGAAAGCGAGAAUGUCGGUUUGAGUAACGUAAACAUUGGUGAGAAUCUAAUACCCCAAAAACCUAAGGGUUCCUCCGUAAGGUUCGUCCACAGAGGGUGAGUCAGGGCCUAAGAUCCGGCUGAAAGGCAUAGUCGAUAGACAACAGGUGAAUAUUCCUGUACUAUCCCUUGUUGGUCUCGAGGGAUGGAGAAGGCUAGGUUAGCCAAAAGCUAGUUAUCGAUUUAAGAAAGUAAGGUACCCCUACUUUUUCAGGGUAAGAAGGGGUAGAGAAAAUACUUCGAGCCAAUGUUUGAGCACCAGGAGCUACGACGUUGAAGUAACCCACGCCAUACUCCCAAGAAAAGCUCAAACGACCUUUAAACAAAAGGGUACCUAUACCCGAAACCAACACAGGUGGGUAGGUAGAGAAUACCUAGGGGCGCGAGACAACUCUCUCUAAAGAGCUUGACAAAGUAGCCCCGUAACUUGGAGAGAAGGGGUGUCUCCUCACAAAUGGGGUUGCAGUGACCAGGCCCGGGCGACUGUUUACCAAAAACAUAGGUCUCUGCAAAGUCAUGAGACCAUGUAUGGGGGCUGACGCCUACCAAGUGUCGAAAGGUCAAGGAAGUUGGUGACCUGAUGACAGGGGAACUGACGAUUGAAGCCUCAAUGAACGGUGGUCGUAACUAUAACAGUCCUAAGGUAGUGAAAUUCCUUGUCGGGUAAGUUCUAACCAGCACGAAAGGCAUAAUGAUUGGGCAGUAUCUCAGAGAGAGGCUCGGUGAAAUAGACAUGUCUGUGAAUAUACGGACUACCUGCACCUAGAUAGAAAGACCCUAUGAAACUUCACUAUUCCCUGGGACUGGGUUUGGGCCUUUCCUGCGCAGCUUAGGUGGAAGGUUAAGAAAGCUUCCUUCCGAGGGGCCUGAGCUAUCAAUGAGAUACCUUUUUGGAAGAGCUAAUGUUCUAACCUUAUGUCAGGACCUACAGGACAAGGGACGGUCUCAGGUAGACAGUUUCUAUAGGGCGUAGGCCUCCCAAAAAGUAACGGACGCGUGCAAAGGUUUCCUCGGGCCGGACGGAGAUUGGCCUCGAGUGCAAAGGCAGAAGGGAGCUUGACUGCAAGACCCACCCGUCAAGUAGGGAUGAAAGUCGACUUUAGUGAUCCGACGGUGUUGAGUGGAAGGGCUGUUGCUCAACGGAUAAAAGUUACUCUAGGGAUAACAGGCUACUCUUCCCCAAGAGCUCACAUCGACGGGAAGGUUUGGUACCUCGAUGUCGGCUCUUUGCCACCUGGGGCUAUAGGAUGUUCCAAGGGUUGGGCUAUUCUCCCAUUAAAGUGGUACGUGAGCUGUGUUUAGAAUGUCGUGAGAUAGUUCGGUCCAUAUUUGGUUUGGGCAUUAGAGCAUUGAAAGGACCUUUUCCUAGUACGAGAGGACCGAAAAGGAUGCACCUUUGGUGUACUAGUUAUCGUGCCCAUGGUAAAUGCUGGAUAGUCAAGUGUGGAGCGGAUAACUGUUGAAAGCAUCUAAGUGGUAAGCCCACCCCAAGAUAAGUACUCUCUUAUUUCGACUUUCCCAGAGCUUCUGGUGGCACAACUGAGAUAGUGACGGGUUCUGUGUCCUUGUGGGGAUGGAGUGACAGAAGUUUUGAGAAUUCAAGAGAAGGUCAAGAUGAGACGAGCAGUUUAUCAUUACCACACGUGUCAAGUGGAAGUGCAGUGAUGUUUGUAGUUGAGGCAUCCUAAUAGAUCGAUAGACUUGAACCU